rnacentral:rRNA from 1 species
GACAUCUAACCUAUGGAAGGGGAUAACCCCGGGAAACUGGGGAUAAUACCCUAUAGACUAUGGAUGCUGGAAUGCUUCGUAGUUGAAAGGUCCGCCGCCAUAGGAUGGGUCUGCGGCCGAUUAGGUUGUUGUUGGGGUAACGGCCCAACAAGCCUGUAAUCGGUACGGGUUGUGGGAGCAAGAGCCCGGAGAUGGAUUCUGAGACACGAAUCCAGGCCCUACGGGGCGCAGCAGGCGCGAAAACUUUACAAUGCGGGAAACCGUGAUAGGGGAACUCCGAGUGCCCGUAAAAUCGGGCUGUCCACCAGUUUAAACAACUGGUGAAGAAAGGGCCGGGCAAGACCGGUGCCAGCCGCCGCGGUAAUACCGGCGGCUCGAGUGGUGGCCACUAUUACUGGGCUUAAAGCGUUCGUAGCUGGUUUGUUAAGUCUCUGGGGAAAUCUUCCGGCUUAACCGGAAGGCGUCUCAGGGAUACUGGCAGACUAGGGACCGGGAGAGGUGAGGGGUACUCCAGGGGUAGGAGUGAAAUCCUGUAAUCCUUGGGGGACCACCUGU